rnacentral:rRNA from 1 species
UGGGCGCAAGCCUGACCCAGCAACGCCGCGUGAAGGAAGAAGGCUUUCGGGUUGUAAACUUCUUUUCUCAGGGACGAACAGAUGACGGUACCUGAGGAAUAAGCCACGGCUAACUACGUGCC